rnacentral:misc_RNA from 1 species
UGGUUCUGGCAUNGAUGAAGAACGCAGCGAAAUGCGAUAAGUAAUGUGAAUUGCAGAAUUCAGUGAAUCAUCGAAUUUUUGAACGCAUAUUGCACCUUAGAGUAUUCUUUAAGGUAUACCUGUUUGAGCGUCGUUUAAAACCUAAAGCUUUGCUUUUUGUUAGAUUUUGGUUGAUUCUCAUCAUUCCAAUUUCUUAAACAGAGUGGCGUUAUUUUGUUAGCCGAGACACAGUGAAAAUGUGUGCCAAGUUGACAAGAUGUACUUGCCAGUUAGAACAUUUCAAUGUUCGACCUCAAAUCAAGUAAGACUACCCGCUGA